AAAUCUCCAGGUGCUCAAUGCUCCAAGAGGCUAGACCGGAAACACAUGACCUCCACCGAAGACGUCAUCUCUACUUUAAUGUAAACCUAUAAGGCGACGAAACAAUUUAUUUUGACUGCAAAUAAAUGUUUAUUAAAUAAGAUUGUUUUUACGUUAUGGAGUUUGUUCCCACAUAUAAACAUGGAGCAAAACGACCAUCUGGAAGACAGAGAAAACAUGGGUAAAGAAGCCCACGGAGUGAUUUAAUGAAGCUACGAGGAGAAAACGCUGCGUUUUCACGCACAGUGACUGGGUUAAACUUGUAAACACUUGGCCAGUAUAAGUGUAAGUGCGCUUCCUGUAUGAGAACACAACACACUGCUGGGGCCACAGAACAGUUGGCUGAUGAGACGCUCAUGAUUCAUGAAAUGGGUCAAAUGCAGAUGACAAAGUAAAGCCAACACUGAGCAGGAGGUGCUGACCCAGACUUCUGUCUCUGUUUAGGUCUGGGACAUGUUACAUUGAAAACUCCAAUAAUAAUAAGAGCUGCAAAUGAAUCAGGCUCAUGUUGAAAUCAUUAUUUAAUUUGUGAAAAUGCACAUUUCUCAAAUGUGUGGGAUUUAGCUGUUUGGAUUUAUGUAAUAGUUUUCUUAAUGUGUGUGUGUCAGGUUUAAGCCCACCUAAACAUUGUAAAAGUAAGAAGAAAGACAAGAGAUUAAUAUCGUUUACUCGCGAGGAGGACGGACAGAGAGUGCGAUCAGUUACAGCA